GAGUUUGAUCCUGGCUCAGAACGAACGCUGGCGGCGUGCUUAACACAUGCAAGUCGAACGUGAUUCAGAGCUUGCUCUGAUGAAAGUGGCGCACGGGUGAGUAACGCGUGGAUAACCUGCCCUGGUAUCUGGGAUGACAUCUCGAAAGGGGUGCUAAUACCGGAUAAGCCCACGGGUUCUUCGGAAUCUGCGGGAAAAGAAGGCCUCUAUUUAUAAGCUUCCGUAUCAGGAUGGGUCCGCGUACCAUUAGCUAGUUGGUGGGGUAAUGGCCUACCAAGGCGACGAUGGUUAGCUGGUCUGAGAGGAUGAUCAGCCACACUGGAACUGAGACACGGUCCAGACUCCUACGGGAGGCAGCAGUGGGGAAUUUUGCGCAAUGGGGGAAACCCUGACGCAGCAACGCCGCGUGAGUGAUGAAGGCCUUCGGGUCGUAAAGCUCUGUCAGAGGGGAAGAACCGCCGGGUGGCUAAUACCUGCCUGGUCUGACGGUACCCUCAAAGGAAGCACCGGCUAACUCCGUGCCAGCAGCCGCGGUAAUACC
rnacentral:rRNA from 2 species